rnacentral:lncRNA from 1 species
AUAUGAUGACCGAGCAAUGCGACGACUAACAAAUGUGGCUAACGAAUGGCCAGUGAGAUGAAAACGAUGCGAUAGCGACAUGAAGGGUAAGGGCACACUAGUUAAGGGACGGUGCACGCCUCCCAAAUGACUUUGACAUGCUGGCCGAACAACAGUACAUGCCCCUCAAGGGGAGGCAUUUGUUACUCGAGGGCAGUUCGAGAAGCCCAAAGCUUGCCUUGCACAGGCUUCUUGUGCGCAUUAGCAGCGCCUACCGCGCGCUGGUUGAGA